rnacentral:rRNA from 1 species
GGACCCGCACAAGUAGUGGAGCAUGUGGUUUAAUUCGAAGAUACGCGCAGAACCUUACCAACACUUGACAUGUUCGUCGCGACUUUAAGAGAUUGAAGUUUUCGGUUCGGCCGGACGAAACACAGGUGCUGCAUGGCUGUCGUCAGCUCGUGUCGUGAGAUGUUGGGUUAAGUCCCGCAACGAGCGCAACCCUCACUUUUAGUUGCCAUCAUUUAGUUGGGCACUCUGAAAGAACUGCCAGUGAUAAGCUGGAGGAAGGUGGGGAUGACGUCAAGUCCUCAUGGCCCUUACGUGUUGGGCUACACACGUGCUACAAUGAUAUUUACAACAGGAAGCAAAACGGCGACGUUAAGCAAAUCCUUAAAAAUAUCUCAGUUCGGAUUGCACUCUGCAACUCGAGUGCAUG